rnacentral:lncRNA from 1 species
GCUGAGCCUCUCCAUGUCAAAGGCCACGUUCUCUGUGCACGGCACGUUUGGCACAAUUCCCAGGGCCUUCAAAAUGUUCAGUUUACACAUUGGACACGUACAGUGCUCACUAAGCCACGGGUCCACACAGGCUUUGUGGAAAACAUGCUUGCAUGGUAAAAUGCGAACAACAUCGUUCUGUUUGUAACUCUCAAUGCAGACAGCACAGUGAUCAAAGUCUGGGUCUGUCUCCUUAUCUCCCUUCUUUACUGUCCUGGUUGUCAAUUUACCAACGGCUUUCUUGGCAGCAUCUCCAAGGCGACGCUGAUUCCUAUCACGUGCACUUGUGUACCUGAUCUUCUGGAUGAAGUAAAAUAUUAACCACGCUGAAGAAAUUAUCAUCAAAACAAUGAAAGAUAUUGACACAAAGACUAGGGAGCCCCGAC